UAUAAAGAUGCUGAAAAGGCUUAAAAAAAUAAACAUAAGAAAGGUUAAUACUUGUACUUUUUGUAUCAUGGCCUAUAGAGAGUUUAAUUAAUUAGAAAUUCCUGAAAAUUAAAGAGCUACCCAUAAAGAAAUAUUAAAUGUUACAACAUUUAGAAUUUAUUACUGGGUAGAGGUGAUAUGCCAUUCGAUUUAGUUGAUAGCUGGUUAAAGGGAAAAUAUAUUAAAGUAUAGAAAAAUUUAUGAAAUGGAAAAUUAAUUAAUAAAAUUUUAUUCAUUUAGGUUUAUUUGAACCUAUAAAGGCUAAGCUUUAUAGGGUAUAAAUUAAUAAAAAAAUUUAGUAGUAAUAAAGGUGUUCAUCUAUAAAAAAUUUGUUCAAAUUAAAUUAUUUUAAAAUAAAGAUAAAUUGUUUUGUACCCUUUUUUUAAUAAAAUAAAAUUAGUAUAGGAUAAUUAUAUAAAAAAAAUUAAAUAUAAUACUUUUCUAGGAAUUAUAAAGGUUAAAUUAAUUAAGUAAAUAGAUGUAAAGAAUGAAUUCGGCAAAAAUGGGCUUUGCCUGUUUACCAAAGACAUCGCUCUUUGUAAUUAUAAGGAGUCGUGCCUGCCCGGUGGAUACAUAAAAUUUUUUAACGGCAGUAGUUACAACUAUUUUAAAGUAGCGCAAUAAAUUGCCCUUUAAUUAAGGGAAGGAAUGAAUGGCUUGACGAGAGUCCAACUGUGUCCUUUACAAUAAUUAAAAUUUUUUUUAGGUUAAAAUGCCUUAGUAUAUUUAAUAGACGAGAAGACCCUAUUGAGCUUAAAUAAUGAGUUAAAUAUAUAAUUCAAAAUGUUUAGUUGGGAAAUCGAAGUGUGAUGUAAAUUACAUUCUUAUUAUAAAAGAUAUGGAUCCACUAUAAGUGAAUAGAGAAAAAGCUACCAUAGGGAUAACAGCGUAAUUCUUUUUGAGAGUACUAAUUGAAGGAAGGGAUUGCGACCUCGAUGUUGAAUCAAGAUAACCUUAAGGUUGCAGAAGCUUUAGAGGGUUGGUCUGUUCGACCAUUAAAAUCUUACGUGAUUUGAGUUCAGGACGGCGUGAGCUAGUCUGGUUUCUAUCUUUAUUUAUUUUAAAAAAAAAUUUUUUGUACGAAAGGACUUAAAUUUUUAUUUUUAGUGCUAUA
rnacentral:rRNA from 1 species